rnacentral:rRNA from 1 species
AGUGAACGCUGGCGGCAGGCCUAACACAUGCAAGUCGAACGGCAGCACAGAGGAGCUUGCUCCUUGGGUGGCGAGUGGCGGACGGGUGAGGAAUACAUCGGAAUCUGCCUAUUUGUGGGGGAUAACGUAGGGAAACUUACGCUAAUACCGCAUACGACCUACGGGUGAAAGCGGAGGACCUUCGGGCUUCGCGCAGAUAGAUGAGCCGAUGUCGGAUUAGCUAGUUGGCGGGGUAAAGGCCCACCAAGGCGACGAUCCGUAGCUAGUCUGAGAGGAUGAUCAGCCACACUGGAACUGAGACACGGUCCAGACUCCUACGGGAGGCAGCAGUGGGGAAUAUUGGACAAUGGGCGCAAGCCUGAUCCAGCCAUGCCGCGUGGGUGAAGAAGGCCUUCGGGUUGUAAAGCCCUUUUGUUGGGAAAGAAAAGCAGCCGGUUAAUACCCGGUUGUUCUGACGGUACCCAAAGAAUAAGCACCGGCUAACUUCGUGCCAGCAGCCGCAGUAACAC